GCUUACGGCCAUACCAGCCAGAAUACGCCCGAUCUCGUCUGAUCUCGGAAGCUAAGCAGGGUCGGGCCUGGUUAGUACUUGGAUGGGAGACCGCCUGGGAAUACCAGGUGCUGUAAGCU
rnacentral:rRNA from 1 species